AUACAUAGGGGGCAAGCGUUAUCCGGAAUUAUUGGGCGUAAAGCGUGCGUAGGCGGUUUAUUAAGUCUGAUGUUAAAUCCCACAGCUCAACUGGGGGCUGCCAUUGGAAACUGAUUGACUAGAGUACGGGAGAAGUGAAGGGAACUCCAUGUGUAGCGGUGAAAUGCGUAGAUAUAUGGAAGAACACCAGUGGCGAAGGCGCUUCACUAGCCCGAAACUGACGCUCAGUCACGAAAGCGUGGGUAGCAAAUAGGAUUAGAUACCCUAGUAGUCCACGCUGUAAACGAUGACAACUAAAUAUUGCCGCGAGGCAGUGUUGAAGCUAACGCAUUAAGUUGUCCGCCUGGGGAGUACGGUCGCAAGACUGAAACUUAAAGGAAUUGACGGGG
rnacentral:rRNA from 1 species